AACGAACGCUGGCGGCAGGCCUAACACAUGCAAGUCGAGCGCCCCGCAAGGGGAGCGGCGGACGGGGGAGUAACGCGUGGGAACGUGCCCUUUGCUACGGAAUAGCCCCGGGAAACUGGGAGUAAUACCGUAUAAGCCCUACGGGGGAAAGAUUUAUCGGCAAAGGAUCUGCCCGCGUUGGAUUAGGUAGUUGGUGGGGUAAUGGCCUACCAAGCCGACGAUCCAUAGCUGGUUUGAGAGGAUGAUCAGCAACACUGGGACUGAGACACGGCCCAGACUCCUACGGGAGGCAGCAGUGGGGAAUCUUAGACAAUGGGCGCAAGCCUGAUCUAGCCAUGCCGCGUGAGCGAUGAAGGCCUUAGGGUUGUAAAGCUCUUUCGUGGGGGAAGAUGAUGACUGUACCCCAAGAAGAAGCCCCGGCUAACUCCGUGCCAGCCGCCGCAGUAACAC
rnacentral:rRNA from 1 species